CCCUUAGACGUUCUGGGCCGCACGCGCGCUACACUGACCAGUGCAACAAGCAUCCGUCCUUGGCCGACAGGCUCGGGCAAUCUUUGAACGCUGGUCGUGAUGGGGAUAGACUUUUGCAAUUUUUGGUCUUCAACGAGGAAUUCCUAGUAAACGCAAGUCAUCAGCUUGCGUUGAUUACGUCCCUGCCCUUUGUACACACCGCCCGUCGCUCCUACCGAUUGAAUGGUCCGGUGAAGCGUUCGGACCGUGGCCUUUGGACGGUUCGCCGUCUGUUGGCUGCGGGAAGUUCGUUAAACCUUAUCAUUUAGAGGAAGGAGAAGUCGUAACA
rnacentral:rRNA from 1 species